rnacentral:rRNA from 1 species
GGAUCAAUAUGUCGGUCGUGCCAUCGGUACGUACUGGUAUCAUUGGUUUCUCCUUUCUGACGAACCAUGAUGUCAUUAAUUUGGUGUUAUGGGGAGUUAGGACUGUUACUUUGAAAAAAUUAGAGUGUUUAAAGCAGGCUUUAGCUUGAAUACAUUAGCAUGGAAUAAUGAAAUAGGACGUUCGAACCUAUUUUGUUGGUUUCUAGGAUCAACGUAAU